GGGAAGGUGACGACGUUAUAUUCGCACUACCACCUGAUCAGCCGGCCAUAUGAUGGCGAUUAUGGCCACAGAGGCUGAUAUGAUAAUGAUUAUGCCCACAGAGGCCGAUAUGAUACGAUGGAAUGCCCACAGAUGCUUGACAGGCGUUAUAUAUGCAUAUAUAUGUAUGAUCAGGCGUUAUAUACAAAUAUAUAGAGUACUUAUGCAUAUCAUUAGCCCUCAAAGGCAGGUCAUAUAUACAGGUUGCAUUCCUUUUAUCCUACAUACUUUCAUGUCUUCUUUAUGUUACUUUCAUGCCUUACAUGCUCAGUACUUUGUUCGUACUGACGUCCCUUUUCUGGGGGCGCUGCGUUUCAUGCCCACAGGUUUAGAUAGACAGGUUGACAAUUCGCCUCCGUAGGUUGCUGUUCAACUGAUAUUGCAACACUCCCCUUGUCUCGUAGUUGCUGUUGUGUUUUGGUAUGUUAUAUUUUUGUGUACAUACAGGUAUGGCGGGGCCGUGUCCUGACCUUGCUAUGUCAUGCACUCUAUUUGUUAUACCCCGUACAUUUAUACGACGAAUUAUCCGCAAGCAAAUCGACUCAAGUUAAAGGCGGAAUUAUUUUCGGACAUGAAAUAAGAGCUUUUAAUUUUCAACUUUGAUUAUCACAAAAAUUGCUUAUAAAUUUUAUUUAGCAUAAAAAUAUUAAUAUUGGAGAUUAGGAAUUAAUUUAAUUAUCGAAAGUGGGCCCCACGACACGUGGCGAGAUUUGGUUGGCCUUGAAUAAAGAUGGACACAUGUCAUGAAAAUUGACACAUGUCCACUUUGUAAAGAUUAUAUAAAUGAGCAUAAGUGGAUGACAACACUACAAUUAAUCUUGCAAAUUAGGUUUUAGAGAGAGGGGCUCUCAAGCCUAGAGAGAGAGAGAGAGGGGUUCGGGCACUGUUCACGGCGACUGUUCACAGCGGCGCCACUGUUCACGGGCACUGUUCACGGCCAGCCCAUUUUUGCCCCCUUCUACACAAUUAAUUGGAGAGAUUUGAAGAUCAAGAGGAGGAAAAAGAUGGAGCUCAUGGUAGCCAUGGCAACUCACGGCCAUGACUUUCUUGAAGACAUUUCAUGGUGAAAAAUUAGAGCUUGUCUCUAAGACCUUGGGGAGCCCGAGGCGUAGAUUUAGAUUGGCUAUCUUGGAAGUGCGUUCGAGGUACAUACGACAGGUUCGCUGAUCCGCCCGCUUAGGAUCUUAUUCUGCUAUUCAGAGGCGCUCUCUUAUCCGGAGCCUAUAUUUUUGGUACAGUCUCCUGCUAUUGUAUAAAUGUACGUCACUCAGGGGUACGACGGGGCCCUGUCCCGUCAUAUGAUUCUGUCGGUCUGUUUAGAGGUCUGUGGACAUGUUUGUGGGUUGGGGGUCUUCCUGUAUGAAUGCGUGUAUAUGUUGUGUUUGGGCGAUCCCAUUCGCCGCGGCGGCCGGUCUGCAUAUGUUUAAAUGUUGCUUUGUUGGCCCUGUGUGGCCUUUGUUGGUAUUUUCUGUGCGUAGGGUAUAUUGGAUAGUCCGUAAAACAAAGGAAACUCUGCCGAAAUUUUUCUGGAAAUUAUCUAAAUUUAAAAUAUAGUCUUGUCGGCUUAUGCUAUAUACUGGAAUACGGUUAAUAAAAUCUGAGAUAGCAUUUGAUAGAUGUGUCUGGGUGC